GACGAACGCUGGCGGCGUGAAUUAGGCAUGCAAGUCGAACGGUAUCAUCCUUUCGGGGGUGAGAGAGUGGCGAACUGGUGAGUAACACGUAGGUUAUCUACCCUCAAGACGGGGACAACCCAGGGAAACUUGGGCUAAUACCGGAUGUGAGCAACUUUUAGUUGUUUGAAAGGUGGCGUAAGCUGUCGCUUGGGGAUGAGCCUGCGUCCUAUUAGUUAGUUGGUGAGGUAACGGCUCACCUAGGCAAUGAUAGGUAGGCGGCCUUAACGGGUGGUCGCCCACACUGGGAUUGAGAUACGGCCCAGACUCCUACGGGAGGCAGCAGUCGAGAAUAGUCUACAAUGGUCGGAAGACUGAUAGUGCGACGCCGCGUGAACGAUGAAUCCCUUCGGGGUGUAAAGUUCUUUUAUAUGUGAGCAGUGCUUCUUAUAUUAACAGUAUGGGGAGAGAGAUAUUAGCAUAUGAAUAAGCAACGGCUAACUCCGUGCCAGCAGCCGCGUAAUCUCG
rnacentral:rRNA from 1 species